rnacentral:rRNA from 1 species
AGAGUUUGAUCAUGGCUCAGGGUUAACGCUGGCGGUGUGUCUAAUACAUGCAAGUCGAACGCAACUUCGGUUGAGUGGCGGACGAGCGAGUAACACGUUGGAACCUACCUCGAACUCAGGGAUAACAUCUAGAAAUAGGUGCUAAUACCGGAUAGUCCCGCAAGGGUAAAGAUUUAUCGGUUUGAGAGGGGCCUGCGUACUAUCAGCUUGUUGGUAAGGUAAUGGCUUACCAAGGCUAUGACGGUUAACUGGUCUGAGAGGAUGAUCAGUCGCGAUGGGACUGAGACACGGCCCAUACUCCUACGGGAGGCAGCAGUAAGGAAUCUUCCACAAUGGACGAAAGUCUGAUGGAGCAACACCGCGUGAUCGAUGAAGCCUUUAGGGGUGUAAGGAUCUUUUCUGAGUGAAGAAUUUUGACGGUAACUUAGGAAUAAGCACCGGCUAACUCCGUGCCAGCAGCCGCGGUAAUACGGAGGGUGCAAGCGUUACCCGGAAUCAUUGGGCGUAAAGCGUCCGCAGGCGGUUUGUUAAGUAAGAUGUUAAAUUUUGCAGCUCAACUGUAAAGCUAUGUCUUAAACUGGCUAACUAGAGUUUUGGAGAGGUGUGCAGAAUUCUGUGUGUAGGGGUAAAAUCCGUAGAUACACAGAGGAAUACCAAAAGCGAAGGCAGCCACUGGCCAAUUACUGACGCUCAUGGACGAAAGCGUGGGGAGCGAACGGGAUUAGAUACCCUAGUAGUCC